AAAAAAUCUAAUCAAUUUCAUAAGGUAUCAGGUACAGGUUGAAGAAAAUGAUCUCAGAGAUUACAGUAUUUCGAUAUUAUAAAGACUACGAGAAAAAACGAGACACUUGCAAGGCAUUUCAGGUUAAGUUUAGACAUUCUUGUUCUUCUUCAUCUUUGAAGGUGGCCAUCGUCCUUUCUUCCUUAGGUGGCGCUUCCUAACGAGUCUCUUCCUCCGUAGUCUAAGCUUUUUUGCCAAUUUCAUCUUCAUCUUCUGUUCAAGCUUCUCUUGAAGCUUAGACUCCAGAGGGAGAUUCUCAACAGGCACACUUUCCUCCUUUUUUUCUGGUGAAGGCUCAGGAUUAUCUGAACCGACACUAUCAAUGUCUGCAGCCGCUGUAGCAAUCAAUGCACCUCUCCUUUGGAAGAUAAAAGGUGCUUGAAUAUAACCAUUGGCAUAAGACUUAGGUGUCAGGGUAAAGUGAUUGUUGCAGAACCUGGAGGAUAACGAAGCAGGGAAUGCAGAAGCUUGUGAAGUAGAGGAAGAUUGAGAUGAGAGGAGAACAGAGGGAGUUGUUGCAGUGAAGAUAAGGAGAGCCAUCUCUCCAGUUUUGAGUUUGGUUUUUCUGGAUAAGAAGACUAUUUUACAGCAACAUAUAUAGAAGAAUAAACAAAUUUGUAAUACCCAU
rnacentral:misc_RNA from 1 species